CUUGGGAACUUUGCUGGGGUUUUACAUGCAACAUUUUUAUGGGAAUUUUCUUGCGAAAGUGUGCUCCUGCGGAUUAUACCUGGGGCUUUCCAAAGAAUUUUCCUGCGGAAAUAUUCACAAGAAAAUCCCUUUCGUCCAUAAAUUUUCACCUCAAUUUCCUACGGACUUACUUAAGGAUUUUCAUGGGGAAUUACAUGCGGAUUUCUUCCUAUAAAAAUUUCCAAGAAAAAUCCCUUUUUUACGAAUUUUCGCCAAAAUAUUAUUGCAAUUUUUUUGAGAAGUUUCGCUGAUAAUUCCGCAAGUAAGUUACAUAGGGAUAUAAAAUCCCUAGGUAGAUUACCUAGGGAUAUUUUAAUUCCCAGGUAAUAAUUACCUACGAAGGUUUUUUCAACGGAUUUAAUUUGGUAGGAAAUUCUGCAGAAAAUCAAAGUACCUGCGGAUUUGUUCAUCUUAUCCCUUGGAAAAUCCCCAGAUUAUCUGAACAUGUCAACGCAAUUACUUCGAAAAUAGAAGAAUGCACCUGCAGAGUUCAAGUAGUUGAUAAAGGCAGACAGAAAAGGAAAAUCAAUUCCAGGGCAUUAUAUUCAAUGCUGAAAUAACACAUUUUUAAGUAAGGAAAAUCUGUUUCAUCCUUUCCGCACUUACUUGGUGUUUGUUGCACAAGUUAAGGAAUCAGAUUAUAUGUGUAUGGAAAUCCAGUUAAAAUAUUCACUUGAACAAUUGAUAGGAGCACGUUCGCUAAGCCAAUAGAAACGAUCAAUCCUCCUGAGGAUCCACUAUGGUCGCCGACGCGACUAACUCUCGCACCAUUUGAUAGUUUCAAGUAUCAACUCAAGGUUAAUUCGUGCAUUUAUGUAGAAUAUUUGUUGUCAUUUUUAACUUUGGUAUUUUGAUGGUUUCUAGCUAGAUUCCUUUUGGCCGCAUGUUAGAACUAGUAUUAACCCGCAUAAACAGCCAAUGCUGGGGACAAUUUGAUUUUCGUGCAAGUUUAACAGCUCUUCACGGGCAGGCUAAUUGAUUAGGCUGUGAUUUUACAGAGAUAUAGCAAAGAAUCGGAGGAGUCCACAAAAUAACUACAUAUCAUACCCUUUUGAAUUUACAUUUGGAACAGUUAU